UACGGAGGGUGCAAGCGUUAUCCGGAUUCACUGGGUUUAAAGGGUGCGUAGGAGGGCAGGUAAGUCAGUGGUGAAAUCCCCGAGCUUAACUUGGGAACUGCCGUUGAUACUAUCUGUCUUGAAUAUCGUGGAGGUGAGCGGAAUAUGUCAUGUAGCGGUGAAAUGCUUAGAGAUGACAUAGAACACCUAUUGCGAAGGCAGCUUACUACGCCUAUAUUGACGCUGAGGCACGAAAGCGUGGGGAUCAAACAGG
rnacentral:rRNA from 1 species